GUACUCUCUUCAGUAGCACAUAUACUAAAAUUGGAACAAUACAGAAAAGAUUGGCAUGAGCCCCUAUGCAAGGAUGAAACCCAAACUCAUUCCAUAUUUUUU
ensembl:snRNA Gm23538 predicted gene, 23538